rnacentral:rRNA from 1 species
GACGUAGGGCGCGAGCGUUGUCCGGAUUUAUUGGGCGUAAAGAGCUCGUAGGCGGCCUGUCGCGUCGACUGUGAAAACCCGCAGCUCAACUGCGGGACUGCAGUCGAUACGGGCAGGCUAGAGUUCGGUAGGGGAGACUGGAAUUCCUGGUGUAGCGGUGAAAUGCGCAGAUAUCAGGAGGAACACCGGUGGCGAAGGCGGUUCUCUGGGCAUGUCCUGACGCUGAGGAGCGAAAGUGUGGGGAGCGAACAGG